GGAGGGGGCAAGCGUUGUUCGGAAUUACUGGGCGUAAAGGGCGCGUAGGCGGAAGAUCAAGUCAGGGGUGAAAGGCCUGGGCUCAACCCGGGAACUGCCUUUGAAACUGGUUUUCUAGAGUACGGGAGAGGAUGGCGGAAUUCCCAGUGUAGAGGUGAAAUUCGUAGAUAUUGGGAAGAACACCGGUGGCGAAGGCGGCCAUCUGGCCCGGUACUGACGCUAAGGCGCGAAAGCGUGGGGAGCAAACAGGAUUAGAUACCCUGGUAGUCCACGCCGUAAACGAUGUGUGCUAGCCGUUGGGGCUUCAGGUCUCGGUGGCGCAGCUAACGCGUUAAGCACACCGCCUGGGGAGUACGGCCGCAGGUUA
rnacentral:rRNA from 1 species